rnacentral:rRNA from 1 species
GACAACUUUUGACGGUGGAUCUCUUGGCUCACGUAUCGAUGAAGAACGCAGCCAGCUGCGAUAAGUAGUGUGAAUUGCAGAAUUCAGUGAAUCAUUGAAUCUUUGAACGCAAAUGGCGCUYUUGGGUUYUCCCAGGAGCAUGUCUGUYUGAGUGUYGGAUWUYUUACGA